AGCGAACGUUAGCGGCGGGCCUAACACAUGCAAGUCGAGCGAGAAAGGGGCUUCGGCCCUGAGUAAAGCGGCAGACGGGUGAGUAACAAGUAGGUAAUCUUCCCUUGAGCGGGGGACAACGGUCAGGAAGGACCGCUAAUACCGCAUACGUUUCGGAGGAAUCCGGGCCGUGGAAGGAAAGCUAGGUUGCGAGAGCCGGGACGCGGGGAGGGGCCUGCGUUGCAUCAGCUAGUUGGUGGGGUAAUGGCCUACCAAGGCGAAGACGCGUAGCUGGUCUGAGAGGAUGAUCAGCCACACUGGGACUGAGACACGGCCCAGACUCCUACGGGAGGCAGCAGUGGGGAAUAUUGGACAAUGGGCGCAAGCCUGAUCCAGCCACGCCGCGUGAGUGAUGAAGGCCUUCGGGUCGUAAAGCUCUGUGGGGAGGGACGAACCGCUGCACGUGCAUAGCGUGCAGCAUGACGGUACCUCCUUAGCAAGCACCGGCUAACUUCGUGCCAGCCGCCGCGGUAA
rnacentral:rRNA from 1 species